AGUAACACGUGAGUAAGCUACCCUGUGGAGGGGGAUAAUCCAGGGAAACCUGGUCUAAUACCCCAUAUUGAAUUUUAUUGGCAUCAAUGAUUUUUGAAAGAUGGCCUCUUCUUGAAAGCUAUCACCACAGGAGGUGCUCGCGGACCAUUAGCUUGUUGGUGAGGUAAAGGCUCACCAAGGCUAUGAUGGUUAGCCGAUCUGAGAGGAUGAACGGUCACACUGGCACUGAGACACGGGCCAGACUCCUACGGGAGGCAGCAGGCUAGAAAAUUGCGCAAUGGGCGAAAGCCUGACGCAGCGACGCCGCGUGAAGGAUUAAGGCUUUUACGAGUUGUAAACUUCUUUUAUAAAGGACGAUGGUAGUUGUGGCUAAUAUCUGCAAUUAUUGACGGUACUUUUUGAAUAAGCUCCGGCUAAAUCCGUGCCAGCAGCCGCGGUAAUACGGAUGGAGCAAGCGUUGUCCGGAAUCACUGGGCGUAAAGGGGGUGUAGGUGGUGUUGUAAGUUACGGGUGAAAAUCACAGGCUCAACUUGUGACCUGCCCGUAAUACUGCAGUACUAGAGGACGGGAGAGGAGAGCGGAACUACCGGUGUAGCGGUGGAAUGCACAGAUAUCGGUAGGAACACCAGAGGCGAAGGCGGCUCUCUAGAACGUUCCUGACACUGAGGCCCGAAAGCUGGGGGAGCAAACAGGAUUAGAGACCCUGGUAGUCCCAGCCCUAAACGAUGAGCACUAGGCGUGGGUCCAUUAAAGGAUCCGUGUCGCAGCUAACGCAUUAAGUGCUCCGCCUGGGGAGUACGCUCGCAAGGGUGAAACUCAAAUGAAUUGACGG
rnacentral:rRNA from 1 species